UUUCUUUUCCUUUUCCUUUCCCCUUUUUUCCUCUUUCCUUCUUUAGAUUUCUAUCACAGUUUCCGUUACUCACUCAUUCGAUUCGUUAUAACCUCUAACUUGCUUCUCCAUACGGAUUACGGAAUCUCUUCUUUUCUUCGCUUUCUUUUUUUUUUGUUAAACUCAAAUCGAUUUCAUUUGCUUCUUCACUGCUCUCUGCAAAAAUUAUUUGCGCUUAUGUCUACUAGGAGCCGAGCUUGUGUUCUAUUUUGGUUGAAUAUUGUAAGAUAGAGAUGGGUUUUGUAUAUUUUGUUGUGAAAAAUUGGUGAGCAUAGUAAUAAUAAUGUUUUCUGAAAGAUUGGGGGCAAACGAAACUCGUUGUCAACAAGAUUUCCACGGUUUGAGUGUGUCGAAGCGUCUUGUGAGGAGUGUCAGCCAGAAGUUGAGGAAGAAGAAUAACAGAAGUUCAGAGGAAGAUGAUGAUGAUGAUGUUAAUGGAGUUUCUUUGAAAUGCUUAACUUUGUAUGGUAGGGGUGGGGGAUGCAAGGUAGGUGCUUACAUUAGUGAUGAAUUUGGGGAUUCCAGCAAUAGAAGGAGAUCUAGUUCCGGUGAAGAAGGCAAAGGAUAUAAACCGGUUUGUGGCCCGCAAGAUAGUGCUGUUGUAGACUGCUUCUCGUAUGGUGUGAGGGAUAGGUUUUGGAGGAGACACCAUAGAAAGAAUUCUGAACUUGAUGAAUUGAUAAUAACAAAUAAUAAAAUGCAUAUAUUUCUUCCAGAUGAUAUUCUUGAAAUGUGUUUGGUUAGGCUUCCGUUGACCAGUUUGAUGAAUGCACGUCUUGUUUGCAAAAAAUGGAGGUCCUUGACCACCACACCUAGAUUCCUCCAAAUGAGAAGGGAGGGUUUGUAUCAAAAUCCAUGGUUGUUUCUGUUUGGUGCUGUUAAAGACGGCUUUUGCUCUGGUGAGAUACACGCAUUGGAUGUGUCUCAAAAUCAAUGGCAUAGGAUCGAUUCUAGUUUUCUUAGAGGCAGGUUUUUGUUCUCUGUUGCUGGUGUACAAGAUGAUAUCUUCAUUGUUGGAGGAUGUUCUAGCUUGACUAACUUUGGGAAAGUGGAUAGGAGCUCAUUCAAGACGCACAGAGGAGUGCUUUCAUUUAGCCCCUUGACAAAAUCUUGGCGCAAAAUACCAUCUAUGAAAUAUGGUAGAUCACUUCCUAUAUUGGGAGUUUUUGAAGUCAGUUUGGAUUUUCCAAGUUGUCAAAGUCAUCAAAGUCGGCAGGACAGACGUUUUCCGAGAUCAAGAAUUGGUGGGGUUUCAGACGUCUAUGAGGAUCCUCAUAAGCUUUCAAUGAGACGUCAUUGCAGAUCUACCUUUAAUGAGACUGAAGCUUCGUCUUUGCCUAGUAGAAAGGCACACAAGUUCCUGAGACAAAAAAGUGAUCUUUCAAGCUCAAAGAGUAGUGGUAGAAGAUUUUUGUUGAUAGCUGUAGGGGGUCUGGGAUCUUGGGAUGACCCUUUGGACUCUGGAGAAAUAUAUGAUUCUGUAUCCAAUAAAUGGACUGAAAUCCCAAGAUUGCCUUUUGAUUUUGGGGUUGCUUGUUCUGGAGUUGUAUGUGGCAAAAUGUUUUAUGUUUAUUCUGAAACGGACAAGCUUGCAGCAUAUGAUGUAGAACGAGGUUUCUGGAUUACAAUUCAAGCCACUCCGAUCCCACCUCGUGUACAUGAAUACUACCCCAAACUUGUAUCUUCAAAUGGCCGUCUGUUUAUGCUCUCUGUGUCUUGGUGCGAAGGUGAUGGUCAAAUUGGGAGGCGAAACAAGGCUGUUAGAAAAUUAUGGGAGUUAGAUCUCAUGUAUCUUACAUGGACUGAAGUCUCAGUGCAUCCUGAUGCCCCAAUGGACUGGAAUGCUGUAUUUGUGGCUGACAAAAACAUGAUUUUUGGAGUAGAGAUGUUCAAAAUAUUUGGUCAGGUGUUGGAUUUUUUCACUGUAUGUGAUGUGUCUGAUAUGGCAAACUGGAACCAUAUUUCAAGGAACCAUGUAACUCAUGAGCUGGACGGUUCAUCGUGUGCAACCAAAUCGGUGGCAGUGCUGCACCUUUGAACUCUUAUGCACAUGUAUGCAGAACAACAGAAUCCCAAAUAUUCUCUGUAUGUUGUUGUUUUGAGAUGCAACAUGAUCGGUAAUUUGGAAUAUUUGGAAUUAUUUGGAGGGGGAGAAAAGGGGAGGAGACCAAAAUCUUGAGUUAAUUUUAGUUUUCCUCCAACAGUAGAGGGAUUUGAAGAUGACAGAAGAUGUAUUUAACUUUUUUAUAUAGAUAGACUUAAAUACGUUUUUAUUAAAUGUGAUAUUGAAUAUUAUAAAGUAUAAAAUGUAAAUUUAUCUUUUAUCUAUAUUAAAAUAUCUCUUCUCGGCUUCUCUAAUCGAAUACAACACCUUGGUUCAGAAAAAUAAAAUAAAUCAAACACGAAUGAAUUGUAUUGUAAACAAAUUAAUUAGAGAAGAAAGGGAAAAUGGCAGUCAAUAGAGUAAGGCUAUAUGUGAACCAGCGAGAGGUAGAGCAAAUGGAAAAUAAACGAAACUACAAAGAAGAAAGAAAUUCAAGGAUGAUUUUAAGAAGAAAGUGGAGAAGCUCAACACUAGAAGGAACAAGAAGCUCAACAUUGUGAAAGGAGAUGAACAUGGAAGGGCAAUGAGCAUAAAAAUAAUAGUCCUAUAGUUAUAGUUUUUUUUUGUUGAAGAAACGGUCUUAUUAUAUUCAAGUAUAUGAAAUGAAUAAAUUUCAUUGGUUGUAAAUAUUAAA